CUGCACCUGAGACUGGCUUGUAGUUGCUACUGAGACUGCUUAAUGUGGUUGUGGUAGACGCCUUGUCAUUUGUUGUGUUAACAGACUCCAUUUCUAAACUAACAUGAGCUACGGUUGCACUCUGUUAGCCAAGCGGAGAGAGGCACUGAGACGGGGCACUCAUGUGGAUCAAGCCAACCAGAGUCGUUCACAAAGAAAUCCACAGUCCAGCACCAUUUAACAACUUACACAAAUCGUCCACAGCCAAGAUUGCAGUCUGUGAUCUUAUCAAGAUGCACUGUCUGGGGCUGCUCUAUUGAAACUAAACGGGGCGAGCUGCUGUGAACCCCUGAACGGGUUUUUGUCCAGGCUCUACACACAAUACCAACCUCAGCUUAUUGGAUUAAUUCAACAUGAGUAAUGCAGCGUAUUGAAAGCUAUUGUUUGCUGAAGUGGGGAAGUGUGCCAAUCGAUCACGAGGCACACCAAAAUACCAAUGCUGAGGAGGUGUAUUAAAACGAAUCCCCGCAGCCUGGAUUUACGGGACAUAAGAAAGAUCCAUGAGGAAGAAUAAGUGAAACAGAGGGCAUCGAAACUCUUCCACCACUUCUUAUCAGCAGCUGCCCCUGAUCACGAGGUUCCAGCUGUGAUUCCCUUUUCUGCACUGAUGCCUCGGAAAAUAAAGACGAUAAGACUCCAGCGGGGCCACAUUCAUUUAAAGAGAAAAAUUAAAACCACUAUACAAUGUCAUGCA